rnacentral:lncRNA from 1 species
AUGCAUUCAGAGAUGGAAGUGUUAAGAUGUUAUGUAGGUGAAGAACCUUGCGUCAUAUUUGUUCACAUCGAGUGUUCAAAGGUGUGAAGAUCUCUACCAUCUUUCUUACUCUCUUGAACACGGUAUUGUCUUUAAUGGGUGAUGUAUAAUUACUCUUCCUCUGGUGGUGUGAACAUUCAGCAUUGGGAACAUACUCUUUAACGUCUCGCGUCUUUUUCACGGC